GAGGAACGUGUACCACUGAAACUGCUAAAUACAAAUCCCGAUGGAAGCCGCAGGCCAGGAAGACCGAGAGCGAGAUGGAAAGAUGCAAUUGAGUCUGAUCUGAAAGUACUAGGAGUGAGCGACUGGAGAACGUUGGCGCGGAAUAGGUCCGAUUGGAGAAGAUUGCUGGAAGAGGCCAAAACCAAUAGUAGGUUGUAGUGCCCGCCUAAGUAAGUAAGUAAUUGUUCACUGAAAUGAUCUCAUUCUCAAAAAUGAUUCA